UACGUAGGGUGCAAGCGUUAAUCGGAAUUACUGGGCGUAAAGGGCGCGUAGGCGGCCUGCUAAGUCGAACGUGAAAUCCCCGAGCUCAACUCGGGAACUGCGUCCGAUACUGGCAGGCUUGAAUCCGGGAGAGGGAUGCGGAAUUCCAGGUGUAGCGGUGAAAUGCGUAGAUAUCUGGAGGAACACCGGUGGCGAAGGCGGCAUCCUGGACCGGCAUUGACGCUGAGGCGCGAAAGCCAGGGGAGCAAACGGG
rnacentral:rRNA from 1 species